CCCUGCCGCUUUCUCACAUCCGCCGGUUUCGGCCUCUCAGAUGGAUUGGGACCGGGAGUUGGAAGGUGGCGAUACUGGGCCGGGCUGUGAUCCGGGCCCAGGCCGAGAGCUCGACAUGAGCGAGGCGAACGGGAGCGAGUGGGGAAAGCGUCGGCGGGAGGAGGCUCUGGGAUUCAGGCCGCAGAAGGAGAUCUUGUACAACCAGCUACUGCCGUAUUCGGAGCGUCUGGAUCAGGAGUCCAACUACAUGCUGGGCCAGGUUAAAAGCAACCUGAGCCGGGCCGUGCAGCUCCGGGAGCUGUGGCCUGGAGUUUUAUUCUGGACCAGAAAACUGUCAACGUAUAUCCGACUAUAUGGAAGAAAAUUCAGCAAAGAAGAUCAUGUUCUAUUUGUUAAGCUGCUGUAUGAAUUAGUUGUCAUGCCUAAGCUUGAGAUCAGCAUGAUGCAAGGAUUCACACGAUUGUUAAUAAGUUUACUCAAAAAAAAAGAACUCUUAUCAAGGGAAGAUUUGCAGUUGCCGUGGAGACCAUUGUAUGAAACGAUGGAGAGAAUUUUGUACUCGAAGACAGAGCAUCUUGGACUGAAUUGGUUUCCAAAUUCGUUUCGACAAGGCUUCUCUUCCCCUAAAUCGUGUGUGCUUAGUGUUUUGCAUAGGUGUUCCGUAGAAAAUGUGUUGAAGACACUGGUGAAGUGCUGUCGACCGUAUUUUCCAGAUGAAGCUACAGCAGAGAUGUUAGAUGAAUGGAAGCCAUUAAUGUGUCCUUUUGAUGUCACCAUGCAGAAGGCAAUCAGCUAUUUUGAAAUGUUUCUUCCUACCUCCCUUCCUCCUCAUCUGCAUCAUAAAGGAUUCAGGCUUUGGUUUGAUGAAUUUAUAGACCUUUAUGUCACAGUUCAGAACCUCCCUCAGUGGGAAGGGAAUUUGGUAAACCUGUUUUCACGUUUGGCUACAGAUAAUAUUGGGUACAUAGAUUGGGAUGAAUACAUUCCAAAGAUUUUUACCAGAAUUCUGAGAAGCUUAAAUCUGCCAGUAGGAAGCAGCCAAGUUUUAAUCUCCAAGUAUUUAUCAAGCGCAUAUGAAAUUGGCCAUGUGGUGGUUUGGAUUACUUCGAUGCUGGGUGGUCCCAGUAAACUGGCACAGAAGCACCUGAGUGGAUUUUUUAACAGCAUUGCAUCAUUCUACCAUCCUUCUAAUAAUGGGAGAUGGUUGAUGAAACUGAUGAAGUUGUUACAACGGUUGCCUGCUAGCGUUGUGAGAAGACUACACAGAGAACGAUACAAAAAGGCAACCUGGCUAAACAUCAUACCAGACAGCCAUAAACUCUCUGACCAGGACAUUACCGAUUUUGUGGAAAGCAUCAAACAGCCUGUACUGCUUGCUAUGUUCAGUAAGACUGGAAGUCUGGAGGCUGCUCAGGCCCUUCAAAAUCUGGCUCUGAUGCGUCCAGAGCUUGUUAUCCCACCAGUACUUGAAAAAACAUAUCCUGCAUUGCAGACUUUGACAGAACCUCACCAACUUACAGCAACCCUAAGCUGUGUGAUAGGAGUUGCACGCAGUCUGGUCUCUGGAGGGAAAUGGUUCCCUGAAGGCCCAACACACAUGCUACCUCUAUUAAUGAGAGCCCUACCUGGUGUGGACCCAAAUGAUUUCAGCAAAUGCAUGAUCACAUUCCAGUUUAUAGCCACAUUUUCUACUCUUGUGCCUUUGGUGGACUGUUCAUCUGUUUUGCAAGAGAGAAAUGAUCUUUCUGAAGUAGAGAGGGAACUUUGCUCAGCCACAGCAGAAUUUGAAGAUUUUGUUCUUCAGUUUAUGGACAGGUGUUUUUCUCUGAUUGAAAUAAGCACCCUGGAACAAACGAGAGAAGAGACAGAAACUGAGAAGAUGACUCAUGUGGAAAGCUUGGUGGAACUGGGUCUCUCUUCAACUUUUAGUACAAUUCUCACACAGUGCUCCAAAGAGAUUUUUCUGGUUGCUUUGGACAAAGUAUUUAACUUUGCUACUACAAAUAUUUUUGAGACCCGUGUUGCUGGCAGAAUGGUGGCAGACAUGUGCCGGGCAGCUUCUAAGUGUCGUCCAGCAACUGCUCUGAGGCGAUUUGUACCACACUGCUGCAAUGUAAUAGCUCAGCUAACCAUCAAUGAUGAUGUGUUACAGGAGCAGGAGUUAGAUAAGGAGCUGCUUUGGAAUCUCCAGCUGUUAUCAGAGAUAACACGCGUAGAUGGUGAUAAGCUGCUGCCUUACAAGGAUCAACUUGUAAAGAUUCUACAAAGAACACUGCACUUGAAGUGCAAGCAGGGAUACGUUCUGGCUGGAAAUCUGUUACAUCAUCUACUUCGUUCAACUACACUAAUCUAUCCAACAGAGUACUGCAGCGUGCCAGGUGGCUUUGAUAAAGCUUUCACAGAGUACUUGCCAAUUAAGGAUUGGGGAAGACCAGGAGAUCUUUGGAAUUUAGGAAUUCAGUGGCAUGUGGCUUCUCCAGAGGAGAUAAAUUUUGCUUACUAUUUGUUGGAUAACUUUCUUCAGCCAGAGCUGUCCAGACUCCAGCAAUGUGCUAAUGGAGAAAUAGAAAUGUCAAGAGAUGACAUACACCAGAGCCUGUGUAUUGUGCAGAACUGCCUGAUGGGCUCAGGGAGCCUGUUACCUUUCCUGGGAGGAGACCCCAUACGUGACUUGGCUCCAACUUUGAUGGCUUUGGAAGAGACCAAACUCUGCACUGGUGUUAAUUAUGAUCCUUCAAGAGGAAAUUACAGGGAAGCAAUUGCCCAAGUCAUAAGGAAACUGCUACAUCACAUGUUGGAUAACUCUGAAGAUGACACAAAGUCCUUAUUUGUAAUAAUUAAGAUUAUAGGAGACUUGCUGCAGUUUCGUGGUUCUUAUAAGCAUGAGUUUGACUCCAGAUGGAAAAGCUUUAAUCUUGUGAAAAAAUCCAUGGAGAACAGGCUACAUGGAAAGAAACAACAUAUCCGAGCGCUGCUGAUUGAUCGAGUUAUGCUGCAGCAUGAGCUACGAACUUUAACUGUUGAAGGCUGUGAAUACAGGACAGUGCACAGUGACUUGAUGCGAGAUCUUCUGCUUUUGUCCACUAGCACGUACAGUCAGGUGCGUAGUAAAGCCCAGCAUGUUUUCUUCACAGCCUUGGGGACUUACAAUUUUUGCUGUCGAGACCUUAUUCCACUAGUGCUGGAAUAUUUGCAUCCUGACAAGCAGAACAUAAACCAGCAACAGUUAAAAGGUGCUCUGUACUGUCUUCUUGGAAACCACAAUGGAGUCUGCUUGGCUAACCUCCACGACUGGGACUGCAUUGUUGCUACAUGGCCAGCUAUAGUCUCUUCAGGGCUCAGCAAAGCAAUGUUUUUAGAGAAGCCUUCCAUUGUUCGUCUAUUUGAUGAUCUUGCAGAGAAGAUACAUAGACAGUAUGAAACCAUUGGUCUAGAUUUUGGAAUUUCAGAUUGUUGUGUGGAACUUUCUGCAUCCUUGUCCCAGACAGAAAAACCAAGUUCUAAUUUGCCUCUUCCUACCACUGAGGAGAUUGAAAAUGGAAUCCAGAGCCAAAUAGCAAAAAAUAAUGAAUCCUUACGGAGUUAUCAGAAGCUAAUUGAUAUCUUGUUGGACUUGCUUGACCAGCGGAACUUACCAUGGAAAUUUGAACAAAUAGCCAUUGGUUUCCUUUCCCUUUUGCUGAGAGAUGAUGUGCCACUACCUACAAGAGGAAUCAAAUUCUUCAUACAGAGUCUCAAUCAUGAUGCCUUAGUAGUCCGGAAGAUGGCAAUAUCUGCUGUGGCUGGCAUCAUGAAGCAGCUGAAGAGACCUCACAAAAAAAUAGGGAUUGAUCCAUAUACUGUUUAUGGAUCUCGCCCAACAACAAUCCAGCCAGGGGACAGGCCUGAUAACAAGUGGCUCCAUUAUGAUAGCUCCAAUUUGCCAAGGACUAAGGAUGAAUGGGAAGCCUGUUUAUUUGUGGAAAAGACACACUGGGGGUACUACACCUGGCCUCAGAAGCUAUUUGUUUAUGCCCCCAUGGACCAACAACCUAAACUAGGAAGGAGUAGAAGCGAAAUGUCAGAGACAGAGCAAGUAAUUUAUGACCACUUCUCUGACCCACAAUUUAUGGAGCAAUUAAUUAAGUUCUUAUCCUUGGAAGACCGAAAGGGAAAAGACAAAUUUAAUCCACGCAGGUUUUGUCUAUUCAAGGGUUUGUUCAGGAACUUUGAUAUGGCCUUUUUACCAGUGUUAAAGCCACAUAUGGAACGUCUUGUCUCGGAUUCUCAUGAAAGCGCUCAGCGUUGUGCAGCUGAAAUCGUUGCCGGAUUAAUCCGAGGUUGUAAGCACUGGAGGUAUGAAGAGGUGGAGCAGCUGUGGAAAAUUCUCUGUCCCUUUCUGAGGAUUGCCUUGUCCAACAUUACAGUAGAAACAUACAGUGACUGGGGAACAUGCAUUGCCACGGCAUGUGAGAGUAGGGACCCUCGGAAACUCCAUUGGCUUUUUGAGUUGCUAAUGGAGGCCCCAUUGAGUGGAGAAGGAGGAUCAUUCGCAGAUGCAUGCCGACUAUACGUUUUGCAGGGUGGCUUGGCGCAGCAAGAAUGGAGAGUACCUGAACUGAUGCAUAGACUCCUUCAGUAUCUUGAGCCCAAACUCACACAGGUCUAUAAAAAUGUGCGAGAAAGGAUAGGAAGUGUUCUAACAUACUUAUUCAUGAUAGAUAUCACUCUACCAAAUUCAAAUCCAACUCUGUCGCCACAUGUCUCUGAAUUCACCAGUCGUAUCUUAGAGCAACUUAAGCCCCUUAUGGAAAUUGAUGAAGAGAUACAAAAUCACAUUGUUGAGGAAAAUGGUGUUGGGGAACAAGAUGAAAGAACCCAGGCUAUUAAACUCCUGAAAACAGUGCUGAAGUGGUUAAUGGCAAGUGCAGGAAGGUCAUUCUCUACAGCAGUUGCCGAGCAGCUUCAUCUUAUGCCACUUUUAUUCAAGAUUGCUCCUGUGGAAAAUGAUGAGAACUAUGAUGAACUUAAAAGGGACGCAAAGAUGUGUUUAUCACUCAUGUCUCAGGGAUUGCUGUAUCCCCAGCAAGUGUCUAUGGUGCUAGAUGUUGUAAAACAGACAUCAGAGAGCAGUUCUUGGCAUGCGAAAUACACUGUUCUAACCUAUCUUCAAACUAUGGUGUUCUACAAUCUGUUUGUUUUUUUGGACAAUGAACAGGCAGUUCAAGAUAUAAGAUGGCUAGUUAUAAAACUCUUGGAAGAUGAGCAGUUGGAGGCAAGAGAAAUGGCUGCUACCACCCUGAGUGGUCUGCUGCAGUGCAACUUCCUGACUAUGGAUUCCUCCAUGCAGUGCCACUUUGAACAGCUCUGCAAGACCAGACUUCCAAAGAAGAGGAAAAGAGACCCAGGCACAGUGGUGGAUACAAUUCCUCCAGCAGGUAAAAAGAAAUUUGGUUCGCCGACAUGCUGGAGUAUUAGGAUUAAGUGCCUGCAUCUUAUCGAGCCCAUAUGAAGUGCCAACUUGGAUGCCACAACUUCUGAUGAACCUCAGUGUUCACCUAAAUGAUCCACAACCUAUAGAGAUGACUGUGAAGAAAACAUUAUCCAAUUUCCGAAGAACUCACCAUGAUAACUGGCAAGAACAUAAACAGCAGUUCACAGAUGAUCAAUUGGUGAUUCUUGCAGACCUCCUUGUGUCACCUUGUUAUUAUGCCUGAGGAGACAGUAGUUCUGUUGACACUGAUGGAAAGGAGUGUUGGUGCUACUACUAAUGAACAAAAGAGAACAUUGAUUUUGUACAUAUGCCUGAGAACCCCAUCAACUGUACAAGUCUUCUGAAGACCCAAGAAGCUGCAAAUACUAAUUUUUUUUGCUCCCUUAAAGAUAUGUAAAUCUUUUCCAGUCUAAAUACAUAAGAAUUCACAGAACAGCAGAAAUUGUGUAUGUAUGUAAAUGUUUAGUAAAAUUUUCACUAAUAUAUAGACAGUUUUUUGCUUACUUACAAAAGAUGUUGUAAUUAAACAAAAAUCAUUCUGCUGAAUUUGUAAAAUUCUUGUACAGUUUUUGCUCAAAACAUCCUCAAUUUCUUGACUGCUCUUAUGACAGCUCCUCUGGCUAUUUCAUAACUUAUAUGUAGAGCUGUAAAAGAAAUGUAAAAACUGUAGAAACAGAAGACGAGCUAAUACAUUUGUACAAAAUGUAAUCUUUAAAGACCUGGUGUUGUGAUCUUUGUUGUUGAGUUUCAUUUGUAGAUGCAAUGGUGUAAACUUAAUAGUGGUUUCGUCUUCAGAUCAUGUGCUUUACUCGUGGUUGUAGGGUUUAUGCUUUCAAGAAAAUGCAUUUUAGCCCUCAGUUUUGCUAAACUAUAGAAGGUUUAUCAUGCUGCUGGUCUUGGUGUGUUUAAAUAAUUUUAAUGUGUCUCGAUAUCUUAAGACUUUUUAUCCAAUUCUUUUACUUUUAUUUGCUUUUGCAAUCGCUAAGCAUUUGUUACAUAUGCUGUCGUGGCAGCAUUAAAUGUACUAUCCUUUGGACGAUUAGCAUGAUGAUAAACUAUGGGUAAAAGGUCAGAUCGUAUUACUGUGCGAUUGCUUACCAUAACAUGUCAAAGACUUAACCACUAUAUAGGGUAGUGCCAAAAAGAAGUGGUUUUUGAUGUACUAUUUGGUUAUUUUAAAGCCAAUAAAUGGAUUGUUUGUAACAAGUCUGUGUUGUUUUGUGAAAAUGUGUGUAAUGAUCUUUCUUUAAAAAAAAUUGUAUGUUUAUUAUAAAAAUAUAUUUAUUAUGGAACUUUUUAAGAUAUCAGUACAGAUUCUGUAGGAAGACUAAAUUCUUCCUUAUUCCUUCUAACUUCACAUAGUUAGGAAAAUCAUUCCCGAAGACAAUUCAGUAAAAUCUUUUCACACCCAUAUCCAACCUUGCUGGAAUUAUAGCCUCAGAUUUUCCCCACUUUGGUUCCCUGGAUAAAGCUGCACCUGUACAUGAAUAUAAUUAAAUGGAAAGUUGGUGGAAACCAAUGAGAAUCUUUAUUGUCUGCAUACAGUGCCCACCCCCCACAGCAUGACAAUAUUUUUCGGGGACAAGCUGAGGAUUCUCAGACUCUGUAUUCCAUGUGAUGAGUUUUGCCUUUUGGCAAUUAUGUCUGAGAUACCCUAUGGUCAGGAGAGCUAGGGGUUCUGCUCUAUCAAAAUUGUGGUUCUGAAAACCAUUGUGUUAUGGAGCUGGAGGGUGGAAUCCUUGUACUAUUCUGUAUCUAAGUGGGUGUUAGCAAUCUGUUCAGUUGCAGGCCAUUGGAUAGCAAUGGCUGUACAGAUAAAUUUUCACCCUCAGCCACUCUGACAGACAAUUUAGCAUGGACAGGGAUUUGAACUUGGAGCCUUUCUAGUCUGUGUGGUAGAGCUACUAACUAGAAAACGUGAAGAGCAAUCCGGGUUGGGGGUUGGGGGGAGCCUUUGAUAACAGAAAAGUUAUUUGUAAAUGUUUCUUGUAGGUAAAUAUCAAAGCAGUAAUUUGUCAUCUGUCCCCAGUCUGCUUUAGUGGCAAUGACCAUGAUGUUUGUCUUUUAUCUUGAAAACUGAUGUACAGUUUGGUUCAGAUCUGCAAUAAACGAGGGUUCAUAUUUUUAAAAGUCAA